UCAUAGAUAUCUUAUAUACACUAGAUAGCGCAUCUCUUUUAGUAAAAUUGAAGCCAAGAAUAUUCCAGCGGUUACCCCCAUUUGAAUAGAUGGCGGCCAUGUUGGUCGUUCCUACUUGCUAAUAAACGCUUAAAAACAACAAUAACUUUCAUUAUUUGAAUAGUUUAAAAACGUAUUUGGAAUAGGGUUAAACAUUGUUAAGUUCCCUGUUUAAGAAAUAGAAAACAUACGAAUCUUCUCAUUUCAUGGGAACGACCUGAGACUGCAAUCACGGCUUCAAUUUUUGAAUUGCAG